ensembl:piRNA 21ur-712 ncRNA
UGGUUUGUUACGUCGAUUCAC